UACGAAGGGGGCUAGCGUUGUUCGGAAUCGACUGGCGUAAAGGGCGCGUAGGCGGCUUGAGUAAGUCGGGGGUGAAAGCCUGUGGCUCAACCACAGAACUUGCCUUCGAUACUGUCGAGCUUGAGCACCGGAAGAGGUAAGUGGAACUGCGAGUGUAGAGGUGAAAUUCGUAGAUAUCGGAAGAACACCAGUGGCGAAGGCGACUUACUGGACACAUAUUGACGCUGAGGUGCGAAAGCGUGGGGAGCAAACAGG
rnacentral:rRNA from 1 species